AGGACCUCAUUGUGCUGGCCAAGGCCCGCUAUGCGCUGAAAGAUACAGAUGAGGAGGUUCGUGAAUUCCUUCAAAACAACCUUAACCUUCAGGGAAAGGUGGAAGGCUCACCAUCUCUUCGCUGGCAAAUGGCACUGUACCGCGGCGUUCCAGGCCGCGAGGAAGAUGCCGAUGAUCCUGAGAAAAUCGUGCGCAGAGUCCAGGAAGUGUCCGCUGUGCUCUAUCACCUAGACCAGACGGAGCAUCCUUACAAGUCCAAGAAGGCGGUGUGGCAUAAACUUUUGUCCAAGCAACGCCGGAGGGCAGUGGUGGCCUGUUUCCGCAUGACGCCCCUAUACAACUUACCCACGCACCGAGCAUGCAACAUGUUCUU
rnacentral:lncRNA from 1 species